GACGUAGGGCGCGAGCGUUGUCCGGAUUUAUUGGGCGUAAAGAGCUCGUAGGCGGCUUGUCGCGUCGACUGUGAAAUCCCGAGGCUCAACUUCGGGCUUGCAGUCGAUACGGGCAGGCUAGAGUUCGGUAGGGGAGACUGGAAUUCCUGGUGUAGCGGUGAAAUGCGCAGAUAUCAGGAGGAACACCGGUGGCGAAGGCGGGUCUCUGGGCCGAUACUGACACUGAGAAGCGAAAGCGUGGGGAGCGAACAGG
rnacentral:rRNA from 1 species